UACAGAGGUCCCAAGCGUUGUUCGGAUUCACUGGGCGUAAAGGGUGCGUAGGCGGUCGGGUAAGUCUGAUGUGAAAUCUCACAGCUUAACUGUGAAACUGCAUUGGAUACUAUUCGGCUUGAGAGUUGGAGGGGGGACUGGAAUUCUUGGUGUAGCAGUGAAAUGCGUAGAUAUCAAGAGGAACACCAGUGGCGAAGGCGAGUCCCUGGACAACUUCUGACGCUGAGGCACGAAAGCUAGGGGAGCAAACAGG
rnacentral:rRNA from 2 species